GCGCCCAUAGCUCAGCUGGAUAGAGCACCAGGCUUCGAACCUGGGUGUCGGGAGUUCGAAUCUCUCUGGGCGUGCCA
rnacentral:tRNA from 2 species